rnacentral:rRNA from 1 species
UACCCCUAGCAAAUCUCAAAAAACCGUCUCAGUUCGGAUUGGGGUCUGCAACUCGACCCCAUGAAGUUGGAAUCGCUAGUAAUCGUGGAUCAGCAUGCCACGGUGAAUACGUUCCCGGGCCUUGUACGCACCGCCCGUCACACCAUGGGAGUUGGCUUUACCUGAAGGCGUUGCGCUAACCCGCAAGGGAGGCAGACGACCACGGUAGGGUCAGCGACUGGGGUGAAG